AGGGUUUGAUUAUGGCUCAGGACGAACGCUGGCGGCGUGCCUAACACAUGCAAGUCGAACGAGAAUUACGAAGCUGAUUACUUCGGUUUGAAGUUUUGUAAGGAAAGUGGCGGACGGGCGAGUAACGCGUGAAUAACCUGCCCAUAAGAGGGGGAUAACACAUGGAAACGUGUGCUAAUACCGCAUAUUGAAUAGUGACCGCAUGGUCGUUAUUUGAAAGAUUUUAUCGCUUAUGGAUGGAUUCGCGUCAGAUUAGCUAGUUGGUGAGGUAACGGCUCACCAAGGCGACGAUCUGUAGCCGAACUGAGAGGUUGAUCGGCCGCAUUGGGACUGAGACACGGCCCAG
rnacentral:rRNA from 1 species